AAUGAUGAGCCUGAUUAAAGGAUUAUCGUGAUAGGAUAAAACAUGUAGCUUAAACUACCUUCAUUA
rnacentral:tRNA from 1 species